rnacentral:rRNA from 1 species
AACGAACGCUGGCGGCAUGCCUAACACAUGCAAGUCGAACGAGACCUUCGGGUCUAGUGGCGCACGGGUGCGUAACGCGUGGGAACCUGCCCUUAGGUUCGGAAUAACUCCCCGAAAGGGGUGCUAAUACCGGAUAAUGUCUUCGGACCAAAGAUUUAUCGCCUUUGGAUGGGCCCGCGUUGGAUUAGCUAGUUGGUAGGGUAAAAGCCUACCAAGGCGACGAUCCAUAGCUGGUCUGAGAGGAUGAUCAGCCACACUGGGACUGAGGCACGGCCCAGACUCCGACGGGAGGGAGCAGUGGGGAAUAAUGGACAAUGGGCGAAAGCCUGAGCCAGCAAGGCCGCGUAAGUGAUGAAGGCCGUAGGGAUGUAAAGCUCUUUUACCCGGGAUGAUAAUGACAGUACCGGGAGAAUAAGCUCCGGCAAACUCCGU